rnacentral:rRNA from 1 species
UACCACAUCCAAGGAAGGCAGCAGGCGCGCAAAUUACCCAAUCCUGACACAGGGAGGUAGUGACAAUAUAUAACGAUCCGGGGCUCUUUGAGUUUCGGAAUUGGAAUGAGUACAAUUUAAACACCUUAACGAGGAACAAUUGGAGGGCAAGUCUGGUGCCAGCAGCCGCGGUAAUUCCAGCUCCAAUAGCGUAUAUUAAUGUUGUUGCAGUUAAAAAGCUCGUAGUUGAAAUUGGGCGGGCUAUUAGUUUAGGCCGCUUCAGGAAGAACUUCUUBCAGUUACUUUGAAAAAAUUAGAGUGUUCAACGCAGGUUUCGCCUGAAUAUAUUAGCAUGGAAUAACAUAACWCGACGAGGGUCCAUUUUGUUGGCUUGCAAACCCACGUAAUGAUUAAUAGGGACAGUCGGGGGCGUCAGUAUUGUGUUGUCAGAGGUGAAAUUCUUGGAUUUACACAAGACUAACUACUGCGAAGGCAUUCGCCAAGGAUGUAUUCAUUAAUCAAGAACGAAAGUUAGGGGAUCAAAGAUGAUCAGAUACCGUCGUAGUCUUAACCGUAAACUAUGCCGACUGAGAAUGGGUACCGCUUAUACGGUAUCCGCGCUCUACGAGAAAUCAAAGUGAUCAGGUUCUGGGGGGAGUAUGGUCGCAAGGCUGAAACUUAAAGGAAUUGACGGAAGGGCACCACCAGGAGUGGAGCCUGCGGCUUAAUUUGACUCAACACGGGGAAACUCACCAGGUCCAGACACAAUAAGGAUUGACAGAUUGAUAGCUCUUUCUUGAUUUUGUGGGUGGUGGUGCAUGGCCGUUCUUAGUUGGUGGAGUGAUUUGUCUGCUUAAUUGCGAUAACGAACGAGACCUUGACCUACUAAAUAGCUCUACUUGCGAUUGCAGGUAGCUAGCUUCUUAGAGGGACUAUCUAUUACAAGUAGAUGGAAGUUCGAGGCAAUAACAGGUCUGUGAUGCCCUUAGACGUUCUGGGCCGCACGCGCGCUACACUGACGGRGCCAGCGAGUCGACCAAGCCCGAGAGGUAAGGUAAUCUUGUGAAMUCCGUCGUGCUGGGGA